rnacentral:rRNA from 1 species
UACGUAGGGGGCUAGCGUUGUCCGGAUUUACUGGGCGUAAAGGGCUCGUAGGCGGCCAACUAAGUCAUACGUGAAAUCCCUCAGCUUAACUGGGGAACUGCGUGUGAUACUGGAUGGCUUGGAUUUGGGAGAGGGAUGCGGAAUUCCAGGUGUAGCGGUGAAAUGCGUAGAUAUCUGGAGGAACACCGGUGGCGAAGGCGGCAUCCUGGACCAAUAUUGACGCUGAGGAGCGAAAGCCAGGGGGAGCAAACGGG